GAGCUCCAGCAGGACCCCGAG
rnacentral:misc_RNA from 1 species